rnacentral:lncRNA from 12 species
CUACAGGGGAGGGUGUUGCUGAGGAAACAAAACCCAGGCCCCCCAGGCCUCUGACGGAAGGGGCUGGAGCAUGCUGGGAAAAGACAUCCACCUGAGAAACACAAAGGAUCCCAGGAGUAGAGGAAGCUGGCCUGAGGCCAACCGGAGUCACGCAAUGUGGAGGCUUCUGUUCAAGUUCUUCCUGAGUCAAACCAUACCAGUGCCAUGGAUCUGGAGUCUGCACGCCUCCAGGAACACACACAUGGAGUGUGUAAGAGGAGGGCAGCCGGCGAGAGGAUGCGGACAGCCUGGAGAUGCUGCAGACCAACCCUCACUGUGCAGGACCUCGGCGAGAUUCUGCUUGGGUUCCAGGUGCAGUGACUGUCCAUUUCAGAAAUGGAUUCAGGCCGAAAGCUCACGAGAGGAGGAAUAUGUCAGGGAAUUGAGCCUGGAAUUCUUGGGAAUGAGAAGAUGCCAGCGUAGAAAAAGGGGAACUCAUUCUUUUGUCUCAGGGGGGAGAUUGCUUUCAUUUUCCAGUGUCCUGUUUCCUUGGGUGACACUGCAGGCACGUGGGAGAUUUGGAUCCUCAGAGCUGAGAGCUGAAGAGAGCAUCUUCAUUAAAGAUGUGUGGCAAUUGGAUGUUUGGGUUGUUCUCAUUGGGUUUUCUUUAAUUGGGUGAAGACCCUUUUGGGGGCUGUUAUUCCACAUGGUCUGUAAUUAUUCAAAGUAAUUGAGAGAGGGAUGCUUUGAUUUAGAAUUAUUUGAAAAGUGGAUUAUUUUAAACAAUACCCUGCUCACAAUCAAUGUGGGAUUUGACCUAACCGAUUACACAACCAACCAAACCAAUUGACCACAAAGCCUGGUAUGUAAAUAUGCAAACUCUUCAAGACGCCAGGAUUAUGAAUAAGUUGAAAGACACAGAUGAGUGGCAAACAGACUCUUAAGAGUCUAUGGCCCUGGGCUGAGGGUUUUACACGCAUUUUUCUCCCAUAGUGCUCAUCACAUUCUUACAACAUGUGCACUGUUGUGUUCCAGUUUGGCUGACAAGCUGCCCUGCAGUGAGCUGAAGCUCAUGUCUCAGGGGUCCCAAAAGCAGUGUGAAGCUUGAAGCUAGGAUUUGAUGUCAAACCAAAUCUGAUUUCUAGAGUUUCUCUCCUUGAAUUCCCACCACAAACCCUCGGUGUGGUGGUGUUGACCUAUUUUCCAGGUAGAGAAACUGAGGAUCGAUGACCAAGUCACCCAGCUGUUACACAGAAGAAUCCAGCUUCCAACUGAGAACUCUCUGAUCUCCAUGUUUGACUUUGUCGUGAAGUAAAGUCGUCCUCAUGAGGAAAGCUCUUUGCACUGAUGGAAUAGUUCCAUAUUUUGAUGCUUGAUGCUGGUUGCUCAAAUGCACACGUGGGAUAAAAUGUCAUGGAAUUCUGCACACAAUACACCCAUGCGCAUGCACACACACACGAGUACAUGGAAGAAUUGACAAAAUCUGAACCAGGUCUGGACUCGAGUUAAUCAACACUGCAGUCAAUUACCUGUUCUUGACAAUAUACUAUGGUUAUGUAAAAUAUUAUUGUUGGGGGAAGCUGAGUGAAGAGUAAGGAACUCUCUGCACUAUUUUGCAACUUCUUAGGAGUCUUUACCGUGAAAAAAAAAAUCAUCUUUGAAUUCUUUGAUGCUUCUCCAGUGGAGAGAUGGGAUUUCUGUUUCCUCCCAUUGAAUCUGGAAAGGCUCUCUAAUGACUUAUAGAGAAAAUAUAGCAGGAGUGGUGCUGUGCCAGAUUUCAGGCUUGAGUUUCAAGAACCCGGAAGCCUGGCUGCCUAGAUCUUGCUGCACUAGUUCUGGAAACCCUGAGCUGCUAUCCAUGGGUCUCCUGAGACUGCCAGGCUGAGAGGCUGUGAGCAGCCAUUCCGGUCACCAAUCCCGGAUGGACCCAGCCUUCCAUCCGCCCCUGCUGAAAUGCCAGUCAUGGAUAAGUAAAGCUGACUCAGACCUUCCAGAUCAUCCCAUUCUCCUGAUGGCUAACACUCAGUGAUUUCCACCAACACCAUGCCGGACAAACACCCAGCAGAGCCCUGCUCAAAUUCUUGAUUCCAUGAUAACUAGACUUAUUGUGGGAGUCAUUUUGUAAUGUAUAUAAAUGUUGAAUCGUUAUGAUGUACACCUGAAACUGAUAAGACAAGGUGUGUUGAUUACGCUUCAAAAAAAAUCUUGAACCAUGAAAUCAUGAAGCAUAAGAAAAUGGUUGUUGUUGGAAGUCUCUAAGUUGUGGGCUGUUUGCUAUAUAGCAACAGAAAACAAUAUGGACUGUUCUUAGACAAAGAAAGGCAGGGCUGAUGAAAGGUGUAGAAUGAGAUGACAUGUUACAGUGGGCAUGUUCCUUCCCCUCUUUUGGUCUCAAUAAAACUAACUUCACCUUGAACA